rnacentral:misc_RNA from 1 species
GCAUCGAACGGUCGGCAUGCAACUCCGUUUCAAGCACACCCCGCUCCUAGACGCGGCGGUGCGUGGCCCCGGUUCCUGUGUUGCCUACCUCUCGAAUGGUAUUCGUGUGGCUUGUUGGAUUUGUCCAUCCAGCCCCCCCUCGGGGGGAACUGGGGGAUUUCGAAGUGAUACACAUGCUCCACCUUAGCUAUCGUGAUUGAAGCAAUUGUGGUGCACAUGUAUACGCUGCUCUCUCGGAUGCGGUGCAUGAGAUGAUGAAACAUGGGAAAUAAUGCUCCCAUUCAGUCCCUCGAAUCUCGGUUGCCUUGAAUGACACUUGCCUUCGUGCUUGCUUGCCCUCCACUCGUGGACGCACGCAUGCAUCGAUGUGCAAAGUUGUUAACGGAUG